UACAGGGGGUGCAAACGUUGCUCGGAAUCAUUGGGCGUAAAGCGCACGUAGGCGGUUCGUUAUGUCGGAUGUGAAGCCCUUGGCUUAACCGAGGAAGUGCAUCCGAAACUGGCGAGCUAGAGUACGAAAGAGGAUCGCGGAAUUCCCGGUGUAGAGGUGAAAUUCGUAGAUAUCGGGAGGAACACCGGUGGCGAAGGCAGCACUCUGGGACGGUACUGACGCUGAGACGCGAAAGCGUGG
rnacentral:rRNA from 1 species